rnacentral:sRNA from 1 species
GAUUGACUUGCUGGGAUCUGAGUGACUAGCUGGAUACUUCUGUGUCAUCUGAGAGGAUGACUGUGGGGGCUGUGUGGCUGAGCUGUGUCUUUCUGGCUCUGUGUCGGCCCUUGUACCAUCUCUCCCCGCCUGCCCCUGCUCUGUGCUGUGUAUCUAACCUACCUGUUCCUUUGUCCAUCCCAUCAUGUCUCUGCAAAUGUCCAGAUUCCUCCAGCUUGUCCUUACCCCAGUCCAGGGGCCCACAGAGUGAGCAUGUGGACUCCGGCCCAGUGUGUGUAUGGUAGGAGAGGGCGGAAGAGCCCCACUGUCUCCCCCUGGUCAUUCCUGAUCCAGCUGUACCCCCCCUUCUUACCCCUUCCUUCCCCAGAGGACCACAAGCUGGUGUUCCUACAACAGGGCCCACUGUUGCUCGUGGCCAUGUCACGGACUUCUCAGUCAGCAGCCCAGCUGCGGGGGGAGCUGCUAGCUGUGCACGCACAGAUCGUGAGCACACUUACACGUGCAAGUGUCGCCCGCAUCUUCGCACACAAGCAGAACUAUGACCUCCGCCGCCUGCUGGCUGGCUCAGAGCGCACACUGGACCGACUUCUGGACAGUAUGGAGCAGGACCCAGGAGCCCUUCUCCUGGGUGCCGUGCGCUGUGUGCCCCUUGCCCGCCCGCUGCGAGACGCACUGGGUGCGCUCCUCCGACGUUGCACAGCGCCUGGUCUGGCGCUGUCAGUGCUGGCAGUAGGCGGUCGACUGAUAACAGCAGCCCAGGAGCGGAAUGUGCUGGCCGAGUGCCGGCUGGACCCAGCUGACCUGCAGUUGCUGCUCGACUGGGUGGGUGCACCAGCCUUUGCGGCGGGUGAGGCUUGGGCACCUGUGUGCCUGCCCCGCUUCAACCCUGAUGGUUUUUUCUAUGCCUACGUGGCCCGCCUGGAUGCUAUGCCCGUCUGCUUGCUGCUGCUUGGCACCCAACGUGAAGCCUUCCAUGCCAUGGCCGCCUGCCGGCGCCUGGUCGAAGAUGGGAUGCAUGCCCUCGGUGCCAUGCGUGCCCUUGGGGAGGCUGCCAGCUUCUCUAAUGCCUCAUCAGCCAGUGCUCCUGCCUACAGUGUGCAGGCUGUGGGGGCGCCGGGCCUCCGGCACUUCCUGUAUAAGCCGCUGGACAUACCUGACCACCACCGCCAACUGCCCCAGUUUACCAGCCCUGAGCUAGAGGCCCCCUACAGCAGAGAGGAGGAGCGGCAGCGGCUAUCGGACCUGUACCACCGCCUGCAUGCUCGUCUCCACAGCACCUCCCGACCCCUGCGCCUCAUUUACCACGUGGCUGAGAAGGAGACACUACUGGCCUGGGUGACCUCCAAAUUCGAGCUCUAUACCUGCCUCAGCCCUCUGGUGACCAAGGCAGGUGCAAUCUUGGUAGUGACCAAACUCCUGCGCUGGGUGAAGAAAGAGGAGGACCGGCUCUUCAUUCGUUACCCACCCAAGUACUCCACACCACCAGCCACCUCUACGGACCAAGCUGCCCAUAAUGGCUUGUUCACUGGACUCUGAUAGUUGGAGCUCCCAGACCAGGCAGUGCUGGGAGCAACCACCUUUGUUUUUUACCUUCUGUCUACCCUGGAAAUGUGUGUGGUGGUGUGUCCAUGGCCAGUCAUUGUCUCCCUAAGCAAUGGGGCAAGGUCUGAGGGCCUGCCGAUGAGAGAGAUGGUGGCAGCCGCCAGGCAAGCAGGCUGCUUUCCCUGCCCGGUCAUGCACCUCCUACUCUGGGGAAAUCCUUAGGCCUCCCUCUCCCUUCCCUCUGUCUCAUCUCCUCCACUUGGAUGAUGCUCUAGCGUCUGUCAGGGACUGUCCCCUCCAAACUUGCUUCCGUGGUCUGCCUCCUAGUUGAAUCUCAGCCUUGAGUGUCCAGAUCUGGCCAAGGUGUCUAGGGUGGCCCACAGGGGUGCUGGAAUUGGCACUUCAGGGCCAGGCUAUGCUUGGAACUGGCCUGAGGGUAUUUUAAAGAAAAAAACUACAUAAAAGGCCUAAAAGUAAGACCCACAAGGAUAUUCCUUUGCCCUUCUUGUACUUUUCUUCAUCUUUACCCUGCCAGAAAUGACUCCCCACUCAAUGCUGGCUGCUGCUAACAUUAAUGAGAAGGUGGCCUCCAGUGUCCACCUGUGGAACCCAGGACACAGCACCUGACUGCACACAGUGGCUGAAAUCCAGCAUUUUUACAUAGGAGAUGCACUUAGCCUCUAAGCCUCAUUUUACUCCUCUGUGAAACAGAGAUAAGUAACCCUCUUUCAUGAACUCUUUGAUGAAGAUUUGUAAACGAAAACAGACUCGAACUAUUGUGUACCACCACAUAGCACAUGCACAUCUGUCCCAGACUUUGACAACCUGCACAAGACAAGCAGCCUAAAGCAGGAGAGACCUCCCUAGGGUUUUGUAUGUGUGCACACUACCCUCACUCCCCAACUGGCCAUUACCCUAGUUCUGCCCUUGUUUGUGGAGUUACAGCCUCAAGGCUGCAGCAUGUGUGCUGGCAAUCAGGGCCGCAGUGUGUUCCGCGCCUGCCCAGAGCUGACUCCUGAUUCAACCAAUGGCGUAACCGCGGGUUGCACGCCUGCGCGCUGAAAAGCCUUUCACCCUCACGUGGUUUCUUUUUUAACCAGUCAUCAAGCAAGGCUCGCGCGCAGGCUCUGCGUCGGAAAAUGGCGGGGAAGCUGAAACCUCUGAAUGUGGAGGCGCCAGAAGCCGCUGAGGAGGCUGAAGGUAUUGAGGGCAAGUGGGCUGCACUCCUUUCUCUCCAACCAGGGCAGAAAGGAGGGAGGAUUCGUCCCAUUACAAUAAUGAAAUAAUGAUACUCUAAUUUUUUUUAAAUAAAGUGUUAAGCCUUU